rnacentral:rRNA from 1 species
UGGUCGGUACAGAGUGACGCGAAGCCGCGAGGUGAAGCAAAUCGCAGAAAGCCGGCCUUAGUUCGGAUUGGAGUCUGGAAACUCGACUCCAUCGAAGGUGGAAUCGCUAGUAAUCGCGCAUCAGCAUGGCGCGGUGAAUACGUUCCCGGGCCUU